GUCGAGCGGACAGAUGGGAGCUUGCUCCCUGAUGUUAGCGGCGGACGGGUGAGUAACACGUGGGUAACCUGCCUGUAAGACUGGGAUAACUCCGGGAAACCGGGGCUAAUACCGGAUGCUUGUUUGAACCGCAUGGUUCAAACAUAAAAGGUGGCUUCGGCUACCACUUACAGAUGGACCCGCGGCGCAUUAGCUAGUUGGUGAGGUAAUGGCUCACCAAGGCGACGAUGCGUAGCCGACCUGAGAGGGUGAUCGGCCACACUGGGACUGAGACACGGCCCAGACUCCUACGGGAGGCAGCAGUAGGGAAUCUUCCGCAAUGGACGAAAGUCUGACGGAGCAACGCCGCGUGAGUGAUGAAGGUUUUCGGAUCGUAAAGCUCUGUUGUUAGGGAAGAACAAGUACCGUUCGAAUAGGGCGGUACCUUGACGGUACCUAACCAGAAAGCCACGGCUAACUACGUGCCAGCAGCCGCGGUAAUACGUAAGUGGCAAGCGUUGUCCGGAAUUAUUGGGGGUAAAGGGCUCGCAGGCGGUUUCUUAAGUCUGAUGUGAAAGCCCCCGGCUCAACCGGGGAGGGUCAUUGGAAACUGGGGGAACUUGAGUGCAGAAGAGGAGAGUGGAAUUCCACGUGUAGCGGUGAAAUGCGUAGAGAUGUGGAGGAACACCAGUGGCGAAGGCGACUCUCUGGUCUGUAACUGACGCUGAGGAGCGAAAGCGUGGGGAGCGAACAGGAUUAGAUACCCUGGUAGUCCACGCCGUAAACGAUGAGUGCUAAGUGUUAGGGGGUUUCCGCCCCUUAGUGCUGCAGCUAACGCAUUAAGCACUCCGCCUGGGGAGUACGGUCGCAAGACUGAAACUCAAAGGAAUUGACGGGGGCCCGCACAAGCGGUGGAGCAUGUGGUUUAUUUCGAAGCAACGCGAAGAACCUUACCAGGUCUUGACAUCCUCUGACAAUCCUAGAGAUAGGACGUCCCCUUCGGGGGCAGAGUGACAGGUGGUGCAUGGUUGUCGUCAGCUCGUGUCGUGAGAUGUUGGGUUAAGUCCCGCAACGAGCGCAACCCUUGAUCUUAGUUGCCAGCAUUCAGUUGGGCACUCUAAGGUGACUGCCGGUGACAAACCGGAGGAAGGUGGGGAUGACGUCAAAUCAUCAUGCCCCUUAUGACCUGGGCUACACACGUGCUACAAUGGACAGAACAAAGGGCAGCGAAACCGCGAGGUUAAGCCAAUCCCACAAAUCUGUUCUCAGUUCGGAUCGCAGUCUGCAACUCGACUGCGUGAAGCUGGAAUCGCUAGUAAUCGCGGAUCAGCAUGCCGCGGUGAAUACGUUCCCGGGCCUUGUACACACCGCCCGUCACACCACGAGAGUUUGUAACACCCGAAGUCGGU
rnacentral:rRNA from 1 species